rnacentral:rRNA from 1 species
CCCGAAAGAUCGAACGGGGAGAUUCAUCGUCAGCGACGUCGGCUUCGUAGCGGCUCGCGAUGCCGGGGACCAUCGUGUCCACGGCACGCGGCCGCGUCGCGUUAUGCCCGGCGGCGUAGGCGUGCACUUCUCCCCCAGUAGGACGUCGCGACCCGUUAGGCGUCGGCAUAAGGCCCGAUUGGUAGACUGUCCCCGGCGUUCGCGUCGGGGGCAGACCGUCGGUUGCCCGGCCGGCUGCCCGGCGGUACUCGCACGGUAUUGAGCCGCAUCGAACAUGCGCCCAGCCCGUCGCAAGCGCGGUCAGCGUUUCCCGGUGGUCGGACCUAGCGCCGUCACCGGGCCUGGCCAGCUGUUGGCAGACGGUGUCCUCGGGCGGGCUCGCUCGAAUUGAAACAAAUACCGGUCGGCGACGCUAUGGCUUUGGGUACUUUCA